rnacentral:rRNA from 1 species
AUUGAACGCUGGCGGCAGGCCUAACACCUGCAAGUCGAACGAGUGGCGGACGGGUGAGUAAUGUCUGGGAAACUGCCUGAUGGAGGGGGAUAACUACUGGAAACGGUAGCUAAUACCGCAUACCAUCAGAUGUUCCCAGAUGGGAUUGUCUAGUUGGGGGGGUAACGGAUCACCAAGGCGACGAUCCCUAGCUGGUCUGAGAGGAUGACCAGCCAACAGGGAACUGAGACACGGGCCAGACUCCUACGGGAGGCAGCAGUGGGGAAUAUUGCAAAAUGGGCGCAAGCCUGAUGCAGCCAUGCAGCGUGUAUGAAGAAGGCCUUCGGGUUGUAAAGUACUUUCAGCGGGGAGGCGUUACCCGCAGAAGAAGCACCGGCUAACUCCGUGCCAGCAGCCGCGGUAAUAC